rnacentral:misc_RNA from 1 species
UUUCCGUAGGUGAACCUGCGGAAGGAUCAUUAUUGUAUAACCGAGGUGCAAGGGCUGUCGCUGACCCGAAAGGUCAUGCACGCCCGAGUGCCCUCACACACAUCCAUCUCACCCCUAUGUGCACCACCGCGUGGGUCCCCCUUUGGCUUGUUCGGAGGGGGGCUUACGUUUUCACACAAACUUUGUAUGCAGUGUAGAAUGUAUUUUUUGUUUUUGCGAUCACGCAAUCAAUACAACUUUCAACAACGGAUCUCUUGGCUCUC